CACGUAGGGCGCAAGCGUUGUCCGGAUUUAUUGGGCGUAAAGAGCGUGUAGGCGGCCAGACAGGUCCGUUGUGAAAACUCGAGGCUCAACCUCGAGACGUCGACGGAAACCGUCUGGCUAGAGUCCGGAAGAGGAGUGUGGAAUUCCUGGUGUAGCGGUGAAAUGCGCAGAUAUCAGGAAGAACACCUAUGGCGAAGGCAGCACUCUGGGACGGUACUGACGCUGAGACGCGAAAGCGUGGGGAGCGAACAGG
rnacentral:rRNA from 1 species